rnacentral:misc_RNA from 1 species
GGAAGUAAAAGUCGUAACAAGAUUUCCGUAGGUGAACCUGCGGAAGGAUCAUUAUUGUAUAACCGAGGUGCGAGGGCUGUCGCUGACCCGAAAGGUCGUGCACGCCCGAGUGCCCUCACACACAUCCAUCUCACCCCUAUGUGCACCGCCGCGUGGGUCCCCCUUUGGCUUGUUCGGAGGGGGGCUUACGUUUUCACACAAACUUUGUAUGCAGUGUAGAAUGUAUUUUUUGUUUUUGCGAUCACGCAAUCAAUACAACUUUCAACAACGGAUCUCUUGGCUCUC